rnacentral:rRNA from 1 species
UACGUAGGGGGCUAGCGUUGUCCGGAAUCAUUGGGCGUAAAGAGCGUGUAGGCGGCCCGGUAAGUCCGCUGUGAAAGUCGGGGGCUCAACCCUUGAAUGCCGGUGGAUACUGUCGGGCUAGAGUGCGGAAGAGGCGAGUGGAAUUCCUGGUGUAGCGGUGAAAUGCGCAGAUAUCAGGAGGAACACCAAUUGCGAAGGCAGCUCGCUGGGACGUAACUGACGCUGAGGUGCGAAAGCGUGGGGAGCAAACAGG